CGUGCCUAAUACAUGCAAGUCGAACGCAUUGUGGUUGAAAUGAUAUGAAGAACUUGUUCAGAUUUGAUUUUCAACAUUGCAAUGAGUGGACGAACGGGUGAGUAACACGUGGGAAACCUACCUCUUAGCAGGGGAUAACAUUUGGAAACAAAUGCUAAUACCGUAUAAUAAUUAAAACCGCAUGGUUUUAGUUUAAAAGAUGGUCUUGCUAUCACUAAGAGAUGGUCCCGCGGUGUAUUAGUUAGUUGGUGAGGUAAUGGCUCACCAAGACAAUGAUACAUAGCCGAGUUGAGAGACUGACCGGCCACAAUGGGACUGAGACACGGCCCAUACUCCUACGGGAGGCAGCAGUAGGGAAUCUUCCACAAUGGACGAAAGUCUGAUGGAGCAACGCCGCGUGUGUGAUGAAGGGUUUCGGCUCGUAAAACACUGUUGUAAGAGAAGAAUGACAUUGAGAGUAACUGUUCAAUGUGUGACGGUAUCUUACCAGAAAGGAACGGCUAAAUACGUG
rnacentral:rRNA from 1 species